GAGUAGGGCGGGACACGUGGUAUCUUGUCUGAAUAUGGGGGGACCAUCCUCCAAGGCUAAAUACUCCUGACUGACCGAUAGUGAACCAGUACCGUGAGGGAAAGGCGAAAAGAACCCCGGCGAGGGGAGUGAAAAAGAACCUGAAACCGUGUACGUACAAGCAGUGGGAGCCUCUUAAUGGGGUGACUGCGUACCUUUUGUAUAAUGGGUCAGCGACUUAUAUUCUGUAGCAAGGUUAACCGAAUAGGGGAGCCGAAGGGAAACCGAGUCUUAACUGGGCGUUAAGUUGCAGGGUAUAGACCCGAAACCCGGUGAUCUAGCCAUGGGCAGGUUGAAGGUUGGGUAACACUAACUGGAGGACCGAACCGACUAAUGUUGAAAAAUUAGCGGAUGACUUGUGGCUGGGGGUGAAAGGCCAAUCAAACCGGGAGAUAGCUGGUUCUCCCCGAAAGCUAUUUAGGUAGCGCCUCGUGAAUUCAUCUCCGGGGGUAGAGCACUGUUUCGGCAAGGGGGUCAUCCCGACUUACCAACCCGAUGCAAACUGCGAAUACCGGAGAAUGUUAUCACGGGAGACACACGGCGGGUGCUAACGUCCGUCGUGAAGAGGGAAACAACCCAGACCGCCAGCUAAGGUCCCAAAGUCAUGGUUAAGUGGGAAACGAUGUGGGAAGGCCCAGACAGCCAGGAUGUUGGCUUAGAAGCAGCCAUCAUUUAAAGAAAGCGUAAUAGCUCACUGGUCGAGUCGGCCUGCGCGGAAGAUGUAACGGGGCUAAACCAUGCACCGAAGCUGCGGCAGCGACACUAUGUGUUGUUGGGUAGGGGAGCGUUCUGUAAGCCUGUGAAGGUGGCCUGUGAGGGUUGCUGGAGGUAUCAGAAGUGCGAAUGCUGACAUAAGUAACGAUAAAGCGGGUGAAAAGCCCGCUCGCCGGAAGACCAAGGGUUCCUGUCCAACGUUAAUCGGGGCAGGGUGAGUCGACCCCUAAGGCGAGGCCGAAAGGCGUAGUCGAUGGGAAACAGGUUAAUAUUCCUGUACUUGGUGUUACUGCGAAGGGGGGACGGAGAAGGCUAUGUUGGCCGGGCGACGGUUGUCCCGGUUUAAGCGUGUAGGCUGGUUUUCCAGGCAAAUCCGGAAAACC
rnacentral:rRNA from 1 species